GAUAACUUUCAAUACAAAUUUUUAAUGAAUUGUCAAACAAAUUGUUGUGAUAUCAAAAUGCUUUCUCAUCAUUUAAAUAUCCUUAUUUCAAACAACAAAAAUACAUAUAUAGCAUUCUUCUUACUUUCUGCUACUGAUGAUUUACAGCAUUUCUCUAGAUCAGUGUUUCUUAAAUUGUGGGUUGUAACACCAAUUGGGGUUGCAGGACCUGCGGCAGGGUCACCAAAAAUUUUAGCAAUUUUGAUAUUUCUUUAACUUAUUAUAAUAAUUUUACAAUUACCAAAUGUUUUUACAUAAUGUAUCUGAAAAUAGAUAAAGACAAUACAGACAAAGGAAAAACGAAAACAUUUCAAUGCG
rnacentral:lncRNA from 1 species